GGAAAGGGGAAAAGACGGGGAAGGUGGAAAAGACAGGGAAAGGCGACACGACGGGGAAAGGGGAAAGUGGAAAAGACGGGGAAAGAAGGAAAGACGGGGAAAGGGGACAGGGAAAAGCGACAGGGAAAGGUGAUGGGGAAAGGGGAAAAGAUGGGGAAAGGGAACGGGGAAAGGCGACAGGGAAAGAGGAUAAGACGGGGAAAGGCGACGGGGAAAGGGGAUAAGACGGGGAAAGGCGACGGGGAAAGGGGAUAAGACGGAGAAAGGGGACGGGGAAAGGCAACGGGGAAAGGGGAUAAGAUGGAGAAAGGGGAUGGGGAAAGGGGAAAAGACGGGGAAAGGGGAAAAGAUGGGGAAAGGGGACGGGGAAAGGCGACGGGGAAAGGGGAUAAGACGGAGAAAGGGGACGGGGAAAGUGGAAAAAACAAGGAAAGGCAACGGGAAAAUAGGAAAUGACGGGGAAAGGCGGUGGGGAAAGGCGACACAAUGGGGAAAGCUGACACGACGGGGAAAGGGGAAAGGCGAUGGGGAAAAGGGAAAAGACGGGGAAAGGUGACAAGGAAAGGGGACAAGACGAGGAAAGGCGAGGCGACGGGGAAAGGCGAAGCGUGACAAGCAGUGGGGAAAGGGGAAAGGCCACGGGGAAAGGGGAAGGCGACGGGGAAAGGCGAGGCGCGACGGGGAAUGGCGAGGCGACGGGGAAAGGUGAAAAGACGGGGAAAAGCGACGGGGAAAGGGGAAAAGACGGGGAACGGCGACGGGGAAAGGCGACGGAAAAGGGGAAAAGACGUGAUAAGGUGACAGGCAAAGGGGAAAAGACAAGGAAAGGCGACGCGACGGGAAAAGGCGACGUGACGGGAAAAGGCGACGUGACUGGAAAAGAGGAAAGGUAGCGGGGAAAGGGGAAAAGACGGGGGAAGGCGACAAGAUGGUGAAAGGCGACACAACGGGGCAGGGGGAAAGGCGGCGGGGCAAGGGGAAAAGACGGGGAAAGGGGACACGAGGGGGAAAGGGGAAACGAUGGGGAAAGGCGACGGGGAAUGGGGAAAAAACGGGGAAAGGCAACGGGGAAAGGGGAAAGGGGAAAAGACGGGGAAAGGGGAAAAGAUGGGGAAAGGGGAUGGGGAAAGGCGAGGCGACGGGGAACGGCGAGACGCGACGGGCAAAGCGACGGGGAAAGGGGAAACGAUGGAAAAAGGUGAUGCAACGGGAAAGGCGACGUGACGGGAAAGGCAAGGCGACAGAGAAAGGUGAUGGGGAAAGGGGGAAAUGACGGGGAAAGGGGUAAACGAUGGGGAAAGGCGACGGGCAAAGGGGACACGACGGGCAAAGGGGACACGACGGGCAAAGGGGACAUGACGGGGAAAGGGAAAAGGCGGCGGGGAAAGGGGAAAGGCAGCGAAAAAGGCAAAGGGGAAACAAGAAAAUAUGGAGAAAGGGGAAAAGACAGGGAAAGACGACGGGGAAAGGGGAAAAGACGGGGACAGGCGACGGGGAAAAGGGAAAAGACAGGGAAAGGGAAAAAGAUGGGGAAAGGCGACACGACAGGGAAAGAGGAAAGGCAUGGAGAAAGGGGAAAAGACGGGGAAAGGCGACGGGGAAAGGGGAAAAGACGGGAAAAGGUGACGGGGAAACAGGAAAAUAUGGGGAAAGGGGAAAAGACGGGGAAAGACGACGGGGAAAGACUACAGGGAAAGGGGUAAAGACGGGGACAGGUGAGGGGGAAAGGGGAAAAUACGGGCAAAGGCGACAGGGAAAGGGGAAAGGGCAAGCGACAGGGAACGGCAAGACGAUGGGGAAAGGGCAAGCGACGGGGAAAGGGGGAAACACUGGGAAAGGCAAUAGGGAAAGUGGAAAAGACGGGGAAAGGGACGAGGAAAGGGGACAAGACGGGGAAAGGCGAAGGGGAAAGGGGACGAGACGGAGAAAGGGGACGAGAUGGCGAAAGGGGACGAGACGGGAAAGGCAAGGCGACGGGAAAGGCAAGGCGACAGGGAAAGUGGAAAUGGAGGGGAAAGGGGAAACGGAGGGGAAAGGCGACAGGAAAAGGGGAAACGGCGGGGAAAGGCGACGGGGAAAGGGGAAAAGACGGGAAAAGGCGACGGGGAAAGGGGAAAAUAUGAGGAAAUGGGAAAACGGGGAAGGGGGAAAAGACGGGGAAAGGGGAAAAGCGGUGGGGAGAGGUGAUAGGGAGAGGUGAUGGGGUGAGGGGAAAUGAAGGGAAAAGGCGACGGGGAAAGGCAACGCGACGGGGAAAGGCGACACAGAAAGGGGAAAAGACAAGAGGAAAGGGGAAACGACGGGGAAAGGAAAAACAACGGGGAAAGGGGAAACGACGGUGAAAGACGACGGGGAAAGGAAAAACAACGGGGAAAGGGGAAACGACGGUGAAAGACGACGGGGAAAGGGGAAAUGACGGGGAAAGGCGACAACACAGGGAAAGGCGAAGGGGAAAGGCGACGCGACGGGGCAAGGCCAGGCAAGACAAGGCAAGGCCAGGCCAGGCCUGGUCAUGACAGGCCAGGCUCAGCAAGUGAAGGCCAGGCCAGGCUAGACAAGGCAAGGCAAGGCAAGGCAAGUCCAGGCAAGGCACGUUUGGGCAUGGGAUAGCAAGGCAAGGCAAGACCAGGCCAGGCAAAGAAAG
ensembl:lncRNA